UGAGCCGGCCGGGCGGCCGCGGCAUCGGUGACGAUGUCGAGGAAAGUCCGGACUCCGCAGGGCACGGUGGUGGCUAACGGCCACCCACGGCGACGUGCGGGACAGUGCCACAGAGAGCAGACCGCCAGCGGCCCCUGUCGAUGACAGGGGUGCGGGUAAGGGUGAAACGGUGAGGUAAGAGCUCACCAGCGCGGCGGGCGACCGUCGUGGCUCGGUAAACCCCACCGGGAGCAAGACCAAGAGGGCCUUCGGGCCUGCGCUGACGGGCGGCCCGUCCGAUGUCAGCGGGUAGGUUGCACCGAGGCGCGCAGCGAUGCGCGUCCCAGAUGGAUGGUCGCCCCUCGCCUCCGGGCGAGGACAGAAUCCGGCUUAUAGGCCGGCUCAUUCG
rnacentral:RNase_P_RNA from 1 species